rnacentral:rRNA from 1 species
UACGAAGGGGGCGAGCGUUGUUCGGAAUUACUGGGCGUAAAGGGCGCGUAGGCGGCCGAUCAAGUCGGAUGUGAAAGUCCUGGGCUUAACCUGGGGACUGCAUUUGAUACUGAUUGGCUUGAAUUCGGGAGAGGAUAGCGGAAUUCCCAGUGUAGAGGUGAAAUUCGUAGAUAUUGGGAAGAACACCGGUGGCGAAGGCGGCUAUCUGGACCGACAUUGACGCUGAGGCGCGAAAGCGUGGGGAGCAAACAGG